UUGCAAGUCGAACGCUGAAGCUCCAGCUUGCUGGGGUGGAUGGGUGGCGAACGGGUGAGUAAUACGUGAGUAACCUGCCCUUGACUCUGGGAUAAGCCUGGGAAACCGGGUCUAAUACUGGAUACGACGUCCUACCGCAUGGUGGGGCGUGGAAAGGGUUUUACUGGUUUUGGAUGGGCUCACGGCCUAUCAGCUUGUUGGUGGGGUAAUGGCCUACCAAGGCGACGACGGGUAGCCGGCCUGAGAGGGUGACCGGCCACACUGGGACUGAGACACGGCCCAGACUCCUACGGGAGGCAGCAGUGGGGAAUAUUGCACAAUGGGCGCAAGCCUGAUGCAGCGACGCCGCGUGAGGGAUGACGGCCUUCGGGUUGUAAACCUCUUUCAGCAGGGAAGAAGCCACAAGUGACGGUACCUGCAGAAGAAGCGCCGGCUAACUACGUGCCAGCAGCCGCGGUAAUACGUAGGGCGCAAGCGUUGUCCGGAAUUAUUGGGCGUAAAGAGCUCGUAGGCGGUUUGUCGCGUCUGCUGUGAAAGCCCGGGGCUCAACCCCGGGUCUGCAGUGGGUACGGGCAGACUAGAGUGCAGUAGGGGAGACUGGAAUUCCUGGUGUAGCGGUGAAAUGCGCAGAUAUCAGGAGGAACACCGAUGGCGAAGGCAGGUCUCUGGGCUGUUACUGACGCUGAGGAGCGAAAGCAUGGGGAGCGAACAGGAUUAGAUACCCUGGUAGUCCAUGCCGUAAACGUUGGGCACUAGUGUGGGGGGACAUUCCAACGUUCUCCGCGCCCGUAGCUACGCAU
rnacentral:rRNA from 2 species